rnacentral:rRNA from 1 species
AAAGGGCGUGNAGGCGGNNUGGUAAGUCUGAUGUGAAANCCCGGGGCUNAACCCNGGAAGGGCAUUGGAAACUGCUUGGCUUGAGUACCGGAGAGGAUGGNGGAAUUCCCGGUGUAGNGGUGAAAUNCGUAGAUAUCGGGAGGAANACCAGUGGCGAAGGCGGCCNUCUGGACCGAUACUGACGCUGAGNCGCGAAAGCGUGGGGAGCAAACAGGAUUAGAUACCCUGGUAGUCCACGCUGUAAACGAUGAGCACUAGGUGUAGGGGGUAUUGACCCCUGCUGUGCCGCAGCUAACGCAUUAAGUGCNCCNCCUGGGGAUUACGGUCGCNNGACUAA